CAACCCGGUACGGAAUUAGACCCAACCCGUUGUAGUCUAGAAAGUAGUUCUUUAAAAUUUUGAAGUGGCCCAAUUUAAGUCAUCCCUAGUUAGAUUGGUCAUAAUUAAAGUGUAUUUAUUGCAUGUGUGUAGUUUUUGUGUGUUAUAUGAUGUGUUUAAAAGUUGUUUUUUGUGUAUUCUCCAGGAACUCAUUUGUUGGCGGAAGGAUUAAAGAUGUACCACCCACCAGCAGUCAGGAGUUUUCAAAGUGGUGAAUUUAAACUGUGUUAAUACAGAGUGAAGAUUUCUGAAAAAAGUAGAUGGCUAACCUAUUAUAUUUUGGGCCUCAUUUGACUUAAAUAGUGCUGAUGUUUAAAGUUGAAGACAGUAUAUAAUUCAUCAAGAACAGUGGAAUCCAGAAUUAAGCCUCAAAUGUGACUGAUUUACUAUAGAACAAAGAACACGAAAAUUCACCAGGCCGUCACCAAGAGGAGAAAUUUGAAAAAUGGGAACUGGUUGAUGGAUAUGGAUGAAACUUUGCAUCAGUGUUGUGUUUAUGCAUAGAAAUCAGGAAAAUAAAGGAUAACUGACAGACCAUGCAGUUACCAAAGCCGGGGUUUGAGUACAGGACCUUACCUUAUACUGGUUAAGAUCUAUGGAAGAACUCUUUCAGCUCAGUUUGGCAACAGAUUUGUCAGGACAAGUUGAGAAGGAACUCAUUUGUUGGCGGAAGGAUUAAAGAUGUACCACCCACCAGCAGUCAGGAGUUUUCAAAGUGGUGAAUUUAUACUGUGUUAAUACAGAGUGAAGAUUUCUGAAAAAAGUAGAUGGCUAACCUAUUAUAUUUUGGGCCUCAUUUGACUUAAAUAGUGCUGAUGUUUAAAGUUGAAGACAGUAUAUAAUUCAUCAAGAACAGUGGAAUCCAGAAUUAAGCCUCAAAUGUGACUGAUUUACUAUAGAACAAAGAACACGAAAAUUUACCAGGCCGUCACCAUAUACAAUGAUUCCCUAGUGGUAAAUCCGUAACGUACCGGGAAACGGUAUUUAGCUAGGUUUUUGAAUAGGUCAAUUAACCAAUCAUGUACGGUUUACAAAUCACAUGCUCCUCCAUGUACCGAAAACAGGUCACGUGCUCCUCCAUGCCUCAAAAAUUAAACGCGUACUAAUACCCUGCGGGCUCCGGCCCGCAGGGAAUAACAGAACACGUGCCAAUUUUAAUACUCAGACUGGUUUUUAACUGUUCUAGCGGCAACUAUAAAUUGUCAAUCUGGCUCAUUGCAGUGAUUAUGACGGCUAUGAGUAAUCAGUCAGACUUAUAACAAAACUGGCAGCUAUUUUAAGUUCUGCGCGUUACGUAGUAUAGCCGAAGAACGUAUGUCUCAACGUUAUGUCGCACAUAAACUAGUGCGCGGAUCACUGAUGCGUAUAACACGUGAUCAGUGAUUGGUCAUGUGGUUUUAGGCGGAAAUCAGUUCUACGCUCGGUUUCGAUUGUGAAGGACAAUUUUGAGCAGCCAUGAAUAGAGCGGAGAUGUCGGGGUUUAUUGAGGAGAAAGUUAAAGAGGUUGUAAAAGCAAACAACGAGGAGCUUCUGGGAAGCAUAAGUAACAUGCUUUGGAAGAUAAGUGACAAACCUUCUUCUGCUAUUUCAAUUUUGAACGUGCCAAAAUUUAAACGUAAAAGUAACGAAUAGCAAUUUAAACUUAAUGCAAAGGUUAUUGACAAAGUAGCAGUCGCUCAAGCAGCCGUAGAAACACAGGAUUUAUCGUCUGCUAAAGAUUCUAUUAUUCAAGCAUGGGAGUUAUUGAAAAGGCGGCAAAAACUGGUGUUGCUUGCUGACACUUCAGAUUUGGGCUGGAAAACGGUGAACGAAUACGAAACCAACCCUAUCGCGAGUGACAGCGAUGAUGAGAGGCGGAUUUUCAAGGCUGAGGCACGUGCUAGCAGGAAGGCUAAAGCAGACAAAACAAAAAAGGCGAGAAAAAGCAGCUGGCCGUAAAGACGUCCGGAGACUCCAGGAUCGUCAUCACAGACUCAACAGGGCACAAGACAAAGGCCAGGUAUGUGUUUCUUGUGUGGCAAAGCCGGUCACUGGAAAAACGAAUGUGCACAGAACAGUUCUUAUCAGAACAAUAAGUUAAGUACUUAUAAUUUUGAUAUUUUAGAGACUUUACAGUCAGUCUUAGGCACAGACGAGCAUGUAGAUAUGGCAUGUUUG